AGCAGCCGCGGUAAUUCCAGCUCCAAUAGCGUAUAUUAAAGUUGUUGCAGUUAAAAAGCUCGUAGUUGAAUUUCGGGAUCAAUACGUCGGUCGUGCUUUCGGGUACGUACUGGCGUCAUUGGUUUCUCCUUUCUGACGAACCAUGAUGUCAUUAAUUUGGUGUUAUGGGGAGUUUAGGACUGUUACUUUGAAAAAUUGAGUGUUUAAAGCAGGCAUUAGCUUGAAUACAUUAGCAUGGAAUAAUGAAAUAGGACGUUCGAUCCUAUUUGUUGGUUCUAGGAUCAACGUAAUGAUUAAUAGGGAUAGUUGGGGCAUUAGUAUUCAAUUGUCAGAGGUGAAAUUCUUGGAUUUAUGAAGACUAACUACUGCGAAAGCAUUUGCCAAGGAUGUUUCAUUAAUCAAGAACGAAGUUAGGGAUCGAGACGAUCAGAUACGUCGUA
rnacentral:rRNA from 1 species